UGGGGAAUAUUGGACAAUGGGGGAAACCCUGAUCCAGCGAUGCCGCGUGAAUGAUGAAGGCCUUAGGGUCGUAAAGUUCUUUCAUUUGUGAUGAUAAUGACAGUAACAAAAGAAGAAGCUCCGGCUAACUUCGUGCCAGCAGCCGCGGUAAUACGAGGGGAGCAAGCGUUGUUCGGAAUUAUUGGGCGUAAAGGGUGCGUAGGCGGCUCUGUAAGUAUUAUGUAAAAUCCCCGGGCUUAACCUUGGGUCGGCAUAAUAAACUGCAGUGCUAGAAGGUGAUAGAGGAAAACGGAAUUUCUAGUGUAGAGGUGAAAUUCGUAGAUAUUAGAAGGAACGUCAGAGGCGAAGGCGGUUUUCUGGGUCACUAUUGACGCUGAGGCACGAAAGCGUGGGGAGCAAACAGG
rnacentral:rRNA from 1 species